UCUUCCGUAGUAUAGUGGUCAGUAUGUGAGCUUGUCACCGCGUUGGAUUCAUCCACCCGCCGACGUCGCUCGAGACCCGGGUUCAAUUCCCGGCGGGAGAG